rnacentral:rRNA from 1 species
GACAGAGGGUGCGAACGUUGUUCGGAAUUACUGGGCGUAAAGCGCGCGUAGGCGGACCUGCAAGUCGGGGGGUGAAAGCCCGAGGCUCAACCUCGGAACUGCCUUCGAUACUGCGGGUCUCGAGUCCGGGAGAGGUGAGUGGAAUUCCUAGUGUAGAGGUGAAAUUCGUAGAUAUUAGGAAGAACACCAGUGGCGAAGGCGGCUCACUGGCCCGGUACUGACGCUGAGGUGCGAAAGCGUGGGGAGCAAACGGG